GGGCGCAGGCAGGCAGGCGGGCGUCGGGUAGCCCGAAGGCAUCAUGGCGGAUAGAGACAGCGGCAGCGAGCAGGGCGGCGGCGGUGGCGGGGCGCCGGGCUCGGGCCCUGGCGGCGGUGGCGGGCCCGGCAGUAGCGGCGGCGGCGGCGGGGUUGGCCUCCAGCACGAGACGCAGGAGCUGGCCUCCAAGCGGGUGGACAUCCAGAACAAGCGCUUCUACUUGGACGUCAAGCAGAACGCGAAGGGCCGCUUCCUGAAGAUCGCGGAGGUGGGUGCGGGAGGCAGCAAGAGCCGGCUGACGCUCUCGAUGUCAGUGGCGGUGGAAUUCCGCGAUUAUCUGGGCGACUUCAUCGAGCACUACGCGCAGCUGGGGCCCAGCCAACCGCCGGAGCUGGCGCAGGCCGCGGACGAGCCCCGGCGGGCCCUGAAAAGCGAAUUCCUGGUGCGCGAGAACCGCAAGUAUUACAUGGAUUUGAAGGAGAACCAGCGCGGGCGAUUCCUGCGCAUCCGCCAGACAGUCAACCGCGGCCCAGGCCUCGGCUCUACACAGGGCCAGACCAUCGCCUUGCCAGCGCAAGGGUUGAUCGAGUUCCGCGACGCCUUGGCCAAGCUCAUCGACGACUACGGCGUGGAGGAGGAGCCGGCCGAGCUGCCCGAGGGCACCUCCUUGACGGUGGAUAACAAGCGGUUCUUUUUCGACGUGGGCUCCAACAAGUACGGCGUUUUCAUGCGGGUGAGCGAGGUCAAGCCCACCUACCGCAACUCCAUCACCGUCCCUUACAAGGUGUGGGCCAAAUUCGGACACACUUUCUGCAAGUACUCGGACGAGAUGAAGAAGAUCCAGGAGAAGCAGAGAGACAAGCGGGCCGCCGCCGCCGCCGCAUCCUCCUCCUCCUCCGGCGGAACAGAGCAGCAGCCAGAGAGCGAAAUCAGCAGCAGCACCGCUAUCGCCACUGGCCCGCCCGGAGCCUUGCUGCAGGCGGAGGAGCCAGAGGAGGAUUGAUCUCCAUCUAUCUUUCCUCCCUCCUCUCCACAUCCCUCCUUCCCGUUUGGCUGCCUCCUCCCUGCCCUGCUGCACAGAGACACUGGUAAUAAUGACAACAACACACAGAGAAAGACUUUAUACUGUAAGGGAGAGAAAGAGAGAGAAAAUCAACAUCCACAAGCCGAAAAUAAUGCAUACCGUUAAAUAUACCUGUUAUAACUCCAAGGGGAGCACCAUCUACCUAUCCACCACCAAAACUGACAGCCGAGCAAGCAACUUCUUUCUCUCCACCCCAUCGCUGGAUUGUUCCUUCCACUCUUGCUCAUCGUAUAAAACAACUUUUACCAGUAAAUAUCGGUUUAUUCCUGAAACCAGAAGCCCUAAACAUAUCUUUGUUUAUAAGCUGUCUUUUUGUGAUUAUGAUUGUGCAAUAUUAUUGGCCACAACUUUAAUCUGAGCAAUUGACACUGGUCCAUCUUCAAAUCAUUCAGAAGACUUGAAGAGAACUCCUCUUUCUACUCUGGAAUUCAAAUGUAUAUAUUUUAUCUGAAGUACGUUAUUUAAAAGUCAAAUUUGUCUCAUCUUCAGUACCUAUACAAUUCGAAAAGUUCCAAAAAUACUAUAUUAUGAGCCUUACCUAUAUAGAUAAUUCCUUUCAUGAUUUCAAAUUGAAAAAAGACUUAAUUAAUUAGGUAUAUCAGCCGUGGUUUUUUUAGUGUCAAUAUUCUAAUUUUGUAAUAUUGUCAAUAUUUAAUCAAAUUGUUGCACAGAUGCCAAUUCAAUUUUAUUCAAAGGUGCUUGACUUUUCCAUACUAUAUUUCUGUCAGUAUUCAGGUGAUACAGAUAAUUCUGUGUGCAAACUUCCCACAAUACUAAAUAUCCCUAUAGAGAUAUAGAGAUACAUUCAUACAGCUGGAAUUCUAAGCCCAAUAUUGUUAAAUAUCUUUACUGAGUGCCUGUUAAUACGGUAAUUUGAAAUUGUGUAUAACACAAUGAUCACAAUGUCAGACUAAAAUUUCAAAUACUGAUUUGAUAGCCUAAACAAGGCCUUUUCUAGCUAAUUUGCUCUUGUUACUUUCAAGUGUUAAAACAAGCCAGGAUUUACCAAGUGUACAUUUUUUUCAUUGCAGGUAAAGCAGAAACUUAAGUCUUCAAAUGAGUCAGUAUUCAUAAAUCAACUUAGCCCCUUAAAGAUGGCUUCUAAUCCUUAGUUGUUAGAAAUAUUUAAUCAUAGUCAUGAGAAUCUAUUAAUAAAUUCAUUUUCCUAUUUUUUUUCUUAUCCUCACAAUCAGAAGGAAGAAGCAAAACGUGAUUAUACCACAUGUACCCAAAAACUGCUAAUAGUUAAUAUGGUUUAUUUUGCCAUAUGAAGGUUUUUACUGCUUUAUGUGCAAAUCUGGCCAGUGAAAUGGUAGAGUUUGUAAAUAUUUUUGAAUAGAUGCCACCAGAAAGAUAGUAAAAACUGAAAGACACUUUAAAAUUUGACAGAAUAAAAACUGAACAAUAGUUUGAAUUAGUUUUAAAAUUCUUUGGGCCUGAGAUCUUCUCAAUUUUCUGUCCUCUUGAAUUCUUAACUUAGAAUGAACUUGGUUCAAAUGUAGGAUUUGUCCCAAGGCUUUAGCACCUUGUGCACAGUUUAAACAUUUCCAAACUGUUUUCUAGGUAAGAAGAAUAAUGGGAACUACUCUGGAAAUCAGUGCUUGUUCUGAGAAUCUUUUCUUCUCAAGAUGAGGUACCUGCACAAAUAAUCCAGGAAGUUCAGAAUGUUAUUGUCUCUUGAGAAAUAUUGACUGCUGGAUGACUUUUUGUUAUCUGAAUGUAGGGGUACUGUUAAAAUUUAUAACCACUUUUAAAAUAGAAGGAUUUCCUUUUUCUCACAAUGGUGCACAUCGUUGUAUUUGAAUGGAAAGAUCUGACGGGGCAAAGUAAUCCUAAAUACCUUUCCUUUCUGGAUUUAGAAUGUUUUGCACAUUUCAAUUUUCUGUAAAGAUCAAAACAAUAUUUCUCUUGUCUGCAUAUUUUUGCUAGUUAAUAUUUAUUAGAUGUGCCAAGCUCCAUUGGAUAUAUUUUUCUGUAACUUCUGAAAUUAUUAAAUAACCAUAUACUGUAUGAGUGCACACAUUAGAACACUGGAAUGUUGAACUAAGCAUUUUUAUGUAAAUAAUUACUACUUUUCAGUUGCAGAAAAGCCUGGAUAUCAUCUCAUAACUGUUGUAUUUUGCCCUAAUGGGAAAUGUUCAGACAUUCUGUGAUAUAUGUACUUGUGCCAAUGGUUAUGUGUAACUACUAAUUAUAAAUUGUAAACAUGCUUGUUUCAUUGUUCAGAAUAGUAUUCUCUUGUUAAAAAUAUUUUCAGUGAAAUGUGAAAAGGAAUUUAUUUAUUUUUUUAAGAUUGUCUUGCAAGGUCUGUUUUCUCUACUUUUUUCCUAAAAAAUAGUAGGGUAAAGAUUGGAAUUUUGUUUAGUUUUUCACUUGAUAGACCAAAGUUACUAUUGACACUGUCUUGCAAUGCUGAUCAAAUGUAUAUCUUUUUGCACUUUAAAUGAAUAAGAAAGAGGAAAAUCAAAGUGUCAAUUGUACAUACAUUCACUGUACAGUGAAUGUAUACCAUUAGUUAAUCUGUUUUUAAACAGAAUAUUUUCCUUUGUGGGAAGGGGAAUACUCAAGCAAUGUAUUUGCUAGUCGAUAUAAAGUGUUUACAUGUAAUUACUUAAUAAAUUAUUUGAUUUAAGAUGGAUCU